rnacentral:tRNA from 1 species
GCCGAAGUGGCGGAAUUGGUAGACGCGCUGGACUCAAAAUCCAGUGGGGGCAACCCCGUGGAGGUUCAAGUCCUCUCUUCGGUACCA